ACUGAUCUUCAGUCAAAGGUAAAUGAUAGCUGUGCUCUCCUGCUAGAACCUCCAAACAAAUUCAAGGUAAGGUCCAUUUGUAGGAGAGGUUGCUGACAAAAGA
rnacentral:snRNA from 11 species